CUAACAUGCGCGCGAGUCAGGGGCUCGCUCGAAAGCCACCCGUGGCGCAAUGAAAGUGAAGGCCCGCACCCGCCGGCCGAGGUGGGAUCCCGAGGCCUCGGUCCUUCUUCCCGUACUGCCUAGGGCGCACCACCGGCCCGUCUCGCCCGCCCCGCUGGGGAGGUGGAGCAUGAGCGUGUGUGUUAGGACCUGAAAGAUGGUGAAUUAUGCCUGGGCAGGGUGAAGCCAGAGGAAACUCUGGUGGAGAUCCAUAGAAGUCCUGACGUGCAAAUCGGUCAUCCGACCUGGGUAUAGGGGCGAAAGACUAAUGGAACCAUCUAGUAGCUGG
rnacentral:ncRNA from 1 species